GGAGAAGGUCAAUAAAUGGACACCUACUCAGCUUACUUGAUAGUCCAAGUUAGGUCUCGAGAAGCACUGAAAUUUAACGUUCAUUCAUUUAUAUUUAUCAAUUUGGAACAAACCAAAUACAAGUUCCUAUAUGAAGGUCAUGUUUUAUUGAAAUAAAUUUCAAAACUCAUAGACAAAUAUAAGUUGGAAAAGCCACCAUCAAAG
rnacentral:misc_RNA from 1 species